rnacentral:lncRNA from 1 species
AUAUUUGAUGGUUCUUGUAUAUAGGCCUUGUUUAGUUCGAGAUUUUUUUUGGUUUGGCUACCGUAGCUUGACUCAUAGGCGGAUCAUCCGUACAGCAAGGUAGGGUGGCCGGCUGGCCGCCCUAUCUCCCAUCGAGUGGGACCCCUUCCUCAAGUAGGGGCUUGUUUAGUUCCAAAAAAAUUUACAAAAAUUUUCAUAUUCUCCGUCACAUCGAAUCUUGUGGCAUAUGCAUAAAACAUCAAAUAUAGAUAAAAAAAUAACUAAUAAUACAAUUUAUCUGUAAUUUAUGAGACGAAUCUUUUGUGUCUAAGUAGUUCAUGAUUGGAAUAUUUAUCAAAUAAAAACGAAAAUGCUAUUGUGCUUAUUUUUUAAAAUUUUUUAGAACUAAUCUAGGCCUAGGUAGUGCCCAGCGAGCCACCGAGCUUGAAGCAAGGUUGAAGACGCCGCCGAAGGAGCUUCUGCGACUUGUGUAACUGGUGGAGUGAUGGGCCUUUUCGGCCUGGCCAUCGGCCCAUGGUGGUAGGCCUUAGGGCAAGGCAAAGCACAGGGCACAUGGCACUCGGCGUCGCCAUUGACGACAGCGGCACCCCCACGCAGCCAGGCUUGGCGUUGGUGUUGGUGGUGCUCCAAGUCCAAAGGGUACAUGUGCUGAGGCCGUGUUUAUUUCCAAAUAUUUUUGCAAAAUAAAAAUAGUAGCAUUUUCGUUUAUAUUUGAUAAAUAUUAUUUAAUUAUGGACUAACUAGGCUCAAAAGAUUUGUCUAGUUAAUUCCGACCAAACUGUGCAAUUAGUUUUUAUUUUUAUCUAUACUUAAUACUCUAUGCAUACGUCUAAAGAUUGGAUGUGACGAAGAAUCUAAAAAAUUUUGCAAAAUUUUUUGGAACUAAGGCCUUGUUUACUUCCCAGAAAAUUUUGCAAAAUUUUUCACAUUCUCCGUCACAUCGAAUCUUUAGACGUAUGCAUGAAGUAUUAAAUAUAGACGAAAAUAAAAACUAAUUGUACAGUUUGGUCGAAAUUGACGAGACGAAUCUUUUGAGUCUAGUUAGUCCAUGAUUGGACAAUAUUUGUCAAAUACAAACGAAAGUGCUACAGUGUCAAUUUCCCAAAAUUUUUGGAACUAAACAAGGCCUAAACAAGGCUUGAGCGUGAACGUCACUGCUUCGCUAUCUCAAAGCCUCUUCCCACUUCUGUGCAAGUUGCCAACCAGCUUCCCGAGUACCCAGCACCAGCUAACCUCGACGGAGUUCUUCCUUUCUUGGGAAACAAGAUUGAAGUGGGGGUUGUGGACCGCGAUUAGCCAACCGACCCCCGUUUUGACCUCACAACUUUGCUGUCCCCGUGUUACAAGCCUGACCAUGCCUACCGUCCCGUGCCGUACUCUUCUGAAGAAUAAACAACAUUUUUAUUUAGGGCCCGUUUAGAUUGGAGAUGAAAAAUUUUUAGGUGUCAUAUCAGAUGUGUCGGAAGGAUGUCGGGAGGGGUUUUUAGAAACUAAUAAAAAAAACAAAUUACAUAGCUCGUCAGGAAACUGCAAGACAAAUUUAUUAAGCAUAAUUAAUAUGUCAUUAGCAUAUGUGGGUUACUGUAGCGCUUAAGGCUAAUCAUGGAGUAACU